rnacentral:rRNA from 1 species
UACAGAGGUCUCAAGCGUUGUUCGGAUUCAUUGGGCGUAAAGGGUGCGUAGGCGGCGCGGUAAGUCGGGUGUGAAAUCUUGGAGCUUAACUCCGAAACUGCAUUCGAUACUGCCGUGCUUGAGGACUGGAGAGGAGACUGGAAUUUACGGUGUAGCGGUGAAAUGCGUAGAUAUCGGGAAGAACAUCGGUGGCGAAAGCGCUCUACUGGACCGCAACUGACACUCAGGGACGAAAGCUAGGGGAGCGAUCCGG